UACGUAGGGUGCAAGCGUUAUCCGGAUUCACUGGGUUUAAAGGGUGCGUAGGCGGGCAGGUAAGUCCGUGGUGAAAUCUCUGAGCUUAACUCAGAAACUGCCAUGGAUACUAUUUGUCUUGAAUAUUGUGGAGGUAAGCGGAAUAUGUCAUGUAGCGGUGAAAUGCUUAGAUAUGACAUAGAACACCGAUAGCGAAGGCAGCUUGCUACACAAUCAAUUGACACUGGAGGCACGAAAA
rnacentral:rRNA from 1 species